rnacentral:lncRNA from 1 species
GGAGAGACAGGCAAGCUGCAAAGGGAAGUCGACGAAAUAAAAUUAAAGCCCUACAAUCGUGUUCGUGUCAAUGUAGAUGGGGUGCCCCCCUCGGUUUGCUCACAGAGGUGGGUGUGAGAUCCUACAGGACGGUCUGGAAGACAUCCCAUGGAAGGCACUUUAUUUUGCCCAGAAGCUGGAGGAAAAGCAGAAGGAUACAUGACAAAUUGGAGAACUUCAACGCAGUGAAAUACAGAACUGAAAGUGCUGUAACAAUUAAGAGCUUUCUUGGCACCAGAAGCAGCCUUCCAUCAGCUUCAGUGCUCAGCCUGCAUUCCCC